rnacentral:lncRNA from 10 species
CCCAAACAGCCCCCGAAAACGCUACGUGAGCUGGGCCCUGGGCCAGAGGCAGAAAACGGACGGAAGAAAAGGUCUGGCCGGUUCAUCAAGCUCUCUCUCCAGAUCCUCCAGUACCGUCACUGCCUCCUCUCCAGUCUCUGGAUGGUGUGCACGCACCCAUGCUUGCAGGUCUUUAGGAAGAAUGCUCAGGAACUGUUCUAGCACCAGCAGGUCUAAAAUCUGCUCCUUGGUGUGGCAUUCUGGCCUCAGCCACUGACGGCAGAGCUCCCACAGCUGGGUAAGAGCUUCACGGGGUCCAGGUGCAUCC